rnacentral:rRNA from 1 species
AUUGAACGCUGGCGGCAUGCCUUACACAUGCAAGUCGAACGGUAACAGGGUGCUUGCACCGCUGACGAGUGGCGAACGGGUGAGUAAUGCGUCGGAACGUGCCGAGUAGUGGGGGAUAACGCAGCGAAAGUUGUGCUAAUACCGCAUACGUACUGAGGUAGAAAGUGGGGGACCUUCGGGCCUCACGCUAUUCGAGCGGCCGCCGUCUGAUUAGCUAGUAGGUGAGGUAAAGGCUCACCUAGGCGACGCUCAGUAGCGGGUCUGAGAGGAUGAUACGCCACGCUGGGGCUGAGACACGGCCCAGACUCCUACGGGAGGCAGCAGUGGGGAAUUUUGGACAAUGGGCGAAAGCCUGAUCCAGCCAUGCCGCGUGUCUGAAGAAGGCCUUCGGGUUGUAAAGGACUUUUGUCUGGGAGGAAAUCCCUAGUGCUAAUAACACUGGGGGAUGACAGUACCUGAAGAAUAAGCACCGGCUAACUACGUGCCAGCCGCCGCGGUAA